rnacentral:rRNA from 1 species
GAGCAGGUGCGAAAGCAGGUCAUAGUGAUCCGGUGGUUCUGAAUGGAAGGGCCAUCGCUCAACGGAUAAAAGGUACUCCGGGGAUAACAGGCUGAUACCGCCCAAGAGUUCAUAUCGACGGCGGUGUUUGGCACCUCGAUGUCGGCUCAUCACAUCCUGGGGCUGAAGUAGGUCCCAAGGGUAUGGCUGUUCGCCAUUUAAAGUGGUACGCGAGCUGGGUUUAGAACGUCGUGAGACAGUUCGGUCCCUAUCUGCCGUGGGCGCUGGAGAACUGAGGGGGGCUGCUCCUAGUACGAGAGGACCGGAGUGGACGCAUCACUGGUGUUCGGGUUGUCAUGCCAAUGGCACUGCCCGGUAGCUAAAUGCGGAAGAGAUAAGUGCUGAAAGCAUCUAAGCACGAAACUUGCCCCGAGAUGAGUUCUCCCUGAGACUUAGAGUCUCCUGAAGGAACGUUGAAGACGACGACGUUGAUAGGCCGGGUGUGUAAGCGCAGCGAUGCGUUGAGCUAACCGGUACUAAUGAACCGUGAGGCUUAACCUUACAACGCCGAAG